AGGGUGUAAACGCUGCAGACCUGGUGUUGGAAAUCCUUCGAGGGUAUUCAGUGCCGGAGAGAAGUUGUUAAGUCUGCUACUUGGGGAGUACGUCCGCAAGGAUGAACUUAAAGGAUUGGCGGGGGAGCACCGCAACGGGAGGAGCGUGCGGUUUAAUUGGAUUCAACACCGGAAAACUCACCAGGGGAGACUGUUACAUGAAACCCAGACUAAUGAUCUUGGUUGAUUUUCAGAGAGGAGGUGCAUGGCGUCAGUGACU
rnacentral:rRNA from 1 species